rnacentral:lncRNA from 1 species
UAUGUACAAACUUAUACAGUCGUGCAGUAUGAAGGAAAUGAAGACAUACAAUAUAAAUAUUUCCUUGUGACAUAAACAACGUUUGCAAAAUACAAAGUACAUACUUGGUGUUUUCAGACGAACAAUAUAAAUAGAGUUAAGAUAAGCACUGGGUCACUCUAUUGUAUGACCUUAAAAAAAGGUUAACUGCAUGAAGAUGCAUAUAAAAUACACCUUUAACUCAUCAAUUUGAUUUUAUCUAUUAGUACUAUAAAUUAACAGU